rnacentral:lncRNA from 1 species
GCUUGAUAAGGUCGACCAAAUAUUGGGUAGCCGGGUCCUUCUCCAUAAGUGCCCGAAUUUGGUCUCUAGUGUUCGUGGAGACUGCGCUCCCUGCAAGAGCAGCUACAGAGCAGAUGGUAGCUAAAUCGGCCCGUCGACUAAGAGCAUCGGCAACAUGAUUACUAGAGCCGGGACGAUACUCUAACAUAAAAUUGAACUCCGAAAGGAAUUCCUGCCAACGAGCCUGUUU